rnacentral:rRNA from 1 species
GACGGAGGAUGCAAGCGUUAUCCGGAAUGAUUGGGCGUAAAGCGUCCGCAGGUGGCAGUUCAAGUCUGCUGUCAAAGACCGGGGCUUAACUUCGGAAAGGCAGUGGAAACUGAACAGCUAGAGUAUGGUAGGGGCAGAGGGAAUUCCUGGUGUAGCGGUGAAAUGCGUAGAGAUGCGGAGGAACACCGAUGGCGAAGGCAGCCCCCUGGGCCGACAUUGACGCUCAGGCACGAAAGCGUGGGGAGCAAACAGG